GACGAACGCUGGCGGCGUGCUUAACACAUGCAAGUCGAACGGAAAGGCCCUGCUUUUGUGGGGUGCUCGAGUGGCGAACGGGUGAGUAACACGUGAGUAACCUGCCCUUGACUUUGGGAUAACUUCAGGAAACUGGGGCUAAUACCGGAUAGGAGCUCCUGCUGCAUGGUGGGGGUUGGAAAGUUUCGGCGGUUGGGGAUGGACUCGCGGCUUAUCAGCUUGUUGGUGGGGUAGUGGCUUACCAAGGCUUUGACGGGUAGCCGGCCUGAGAGGGUGACCGGCCACAUUGGGACUGAGAUACGGCCCAGACUCCUACGGGAGGCAGCAGUGGGGAAUAUUGCACAAUGGGCGGGAGCCUGAUGCAGCAACGCCGCGUGCGGGAUGACGGCCUUCGGGUUGUAAACCGCUUUCGCCUGUGACGAAGCGUGAGUGACGGUAAUGGGUAAAGAAGCACCGGCUAACUACGUGCCAGCAGCCGCGGUGAUACGUAGGGUGCGAGCGUUGUCCGGAUUUAUUGGGCGUAAAGGGCUCGUAGGUGGUUGAUCGCGUCGGAAGUGUAAUCUUGGGGCUUAACCCUGAGCGUGCUUUCGAUACGGGUUGACUUGAGGAAGGUAGGGGAGAAUGGAAUUCCUGGUGGAGCGGUGGAAUGCGCAGAUAUCAGGAGGAACACCAGUGGCGAAGGCGGUUCUCUGGGCCUUUCCUGACGCUGAGGAGCGAAAGCGUGGGGAGCGAACAGGCUUAGAUACCCUGGUAGUCCACGCUGUAAACGGUGGGUACUAGGUGUGGGGUCCAUUCCACGGGUUCCGUGCCGUAGCUAACGCUUUAAGUACCCCGCCUGGGGAGUACGGCCGCAAGGCUAAAACUCAAAGGAAUUGACGGGGCCCCGCACAAGCGGCGGAGCAUGCAGAUUAAUUCGAUGCAACGCGUAGAACCUUACCUGGGUUUGACAUGGAUCGGGAGUGCUCAGAGAUGGGUGUGCCUCUUUUGGGGUCGGUUCACAGGUGGUGCAUGGCUGUCGUCAGCUCGUGUCGUGAGAUGUUGGGUUAAGUCCCGCAACGAGCGCAACCCUUGUUCACUGUUGCCAGCACGUUAUGGUGGGGACUCAGUGGAGACCGCCGGGGUCAACUCGGAGGAAGGUGGGGAUGACGUCAAGUCAUCAUGCCCCUUAUGUCCAGGGCUUCACGCAUGCUACAAUGGCUGGUACAGAGAGUGGCGAGCCUGUGAGGGUGAGCGAAUCUCGGAAAGCCGGUCUCAGUUCGGAUUGGGGUCUGCAACUCGACCUCAUGAAGUCGGAGUCGCUAGUAAUCGCAGAUCAGCAACGCUGCGGUGAAUACGUUCCCGGGGCUUGUACACACCGCCCGUCAAGUCAUGAAAGUUGGUAACGCCCGAAGCCGGUGGCCUAACCGUUGUGGGGGAGCCGUCGAAGGUGGGACUGGUGAUUAGG
rnacentral:rRNA from 1 species